CCGACGGUGAGGGGUGAAUGCUGGGGGCGCAAACCGGAUUAGAUACCCGGGUAGUCCCAGCAGUAAACGAUGCCCAGCUAUGUGUUGCUGGAAACCAUGGGUUCCCAGCAGUGCCGAAGGGAAAGCCGUGAAGCUGGCCAACCUGGGAAGUAACGGUCGCAAGGCUGAAACUUAAAGGAAUUGGCGGGGGAGUACCACAACCGGUGGAGCCCUGCGGUUUAAUUGGAUACAACGCCGGGAAUCUUACCGGAGGGGACAGCAGUAUGAAGGCCAGGCUAAAGACCUUGCCAGAUCAGCUGAGAGGAGGUGCAUGGCCGUCGCCAGUUCGUACCGUGAGGCAUCCUGUUUAGUCAGGCAACGAUCGAGACCCGCAGUCUUAUUUGCCAGCAUGCCCUUUGGGGUGUAUGGGUACAAUAAGACGACCGCCAGCGCUAAGCUGGAGGAAGGAGCGGGCUACGGUAGGUCAGCAUGCCCCGAAUCCUCCGGGAUACACGCGGGCUACAAUGGUCAGGACAAAAGGUACCGACCUCGAAAGAGUGAGGUAAUCCACAAACCUGAUCUCAGUCCGGAUCGAAGGCUGCAACUCGCCUUCGUGAAGAUGGAAUCGGUAGUAAUCGUGACUCAAAAUGUCACGGUGAAUAUGUCCCUGCUCCUUGCACUCGCCGCCCGU
rnacentral:rRNA from 1 species